rnacentral:rRNA from 1 species
GACGGAGGAUGCAAGCGGUAUCAGGAAUUAUUGGGCGUAAAGCGUUCGCAGGUGGCUGUUCAAGUCUGCUGUCAAAGACCGGGGCUUAACCCCAGAAAGGCAGUGGAAACUGAACGGUUGGAGUGCAGUAUGGGUAGAGGGAAUUCCCAGUGUAGCGGUGAAAUGAGUAGAGAUUGGGAAGAACACCGGUGGCGAAAGCGCGCUGCUGGACUGCAACUGACACUGAGGGACGAAAGCUAGGGGAGCGAAAGGG